rnacentral:rRNA from 1 species
UCCUGUUAGGGGAGUGAAAUAGUAACUGAAAUCAAUUGCUAACAAGUCAGUGGGAGCUCCCUCGUGGAGUGACCGCCUGCCUUUUGUAUAAUGAGUCUGCGAGUUAUUCCCCGUAGCAAGCUUAAGCCGGUUCCCGGCGAAAGCGUAGCGAAAGCAAGUCCAAACAGGGCGCUUAGUUGCUGGGAAUAGACCCGAAGCGGAGGUGAUCUAACCAUGGCCAGGUUGAAACUCGGGUAAAACCGAGUGAAGGACCGAACUCGUCAACCUUGAGAAGUUGUGAGAUGAGCUGUGGUUAGGAGCGAAAGACUAAUCAAACCCUGUGAUAGCUGGUUCUUUCCGAAAUAUAUUUGGGUAUAGCGUCGGAUGCUGAUGAAUGGAGGUAGAGCACUAAAUAAGCUAGGGCCCCUACCGGGGUACUGAACUUAAUUAAACUCCGAAUACCAUUCAAUGAAGUCCGGCAGUCAGACUGUGGGGGAUUACCUUCAUAGUCGAGAGGAGAAUAAUCCAAACCAUCAGUUAAGGUCCCAAAAUAUGGCUCAGUGUAAAAGGAUGUGAUUUUGCUUAGACAAUGGGGAUGUUGGCUUAGAGGCAGCCAUCAUUUAAACAGUGCGUAACAGCUGACCCAUCGAGCGAAAUUGCGCCGAAAAUGAUCGGGACUUAAGCCAUAUACCGAAGCUAUGGGUGCACUCUCAAAAGUGCGCAGUAGGAAAGCGUCCCAAGUGCAGCGAAGUGGAAGGGGUAACCGACCAUGGAGCGCUUGGGAGUGAGAAUGCAGACAUAAGUAACGAUAAAGACGGUUGAAAUCCGUCUCGCCGAAAUCCCAAGGAUUCCUGGGGAAGGUUCGUCCUCCCAGGGUUAGUCGGGUGCUAAGACGAGGCCGUAAGGAAUAGUCGAUGCCAAGCAGGUUUAAUAUUCCUGCACCACCUUAUAUGCGUUCGACCUAAGGAGUGACGGAGAAAGUUAAUACAGCGACGUGUUGAAUCGUCGUCUACGCUCGUAGGCUGCUCGGGGUUUAAAGACCGGGUAAAGCUGAAAAGCAAUGGGACCUCGAGGCUACGGCCAAUGGGGAUUGUAUGAUACUCUGCUUCCGAGAAAAACUUCGCAGUUAGCAUGUGAGGUGCCCGUACCGUAAACCGACACAGGUGGGAUAGAUGAGUAUUCUAAGGCGCGCAGGUUAAAUCUCUCUAAGGAACUCGGCAAAUUAACCCCGUAUCUUCGGUAGAAGGGGUGCCUCGCAAGAGGCCGCAGUUAAUUGCGUCAACCGACUGUUUAGCAAAAACACAGCACUCUGCUAAGUCGCAAGACGACGUAUAGGGUGUGACACGUGACCAAUGCGGAAAGGUGAAAGUCUAGGGUGCAAGCUCUGGAUCUAAGCCCCCGUGAAUGUCGGCCGUAACUAUAACGGUCCUAAGGUAGCGAAAUUCCUUGUCGGGUAAGUUCCGACCCGCACGAAUCGUGUAACGAGUUGACGACUGUCUCGGAGAGAGGCCU